UACGUAGGGUGCAAGCGUUAAUCGGAAUUACUGGGCGUAAAGCGUGCGCAGGCGGUGAUGUAAGACAGUUGGGAAAUCCCCGGGCUCAACCUGGGAACUGCAUCUGUGACUGCAUUGCUGGAGUGCGGCAGAGGGGGAUGGAAUUCCGCGUGUAGCAGUGAAAUGCGUAGAUAUGCGGAGGAACACCGAUGGCGAAGGCAAUCCCCUGGGCCUGCACUGACGCUCAUGCACGAAAGCGUGGGGAGCAAACAGG
rnacentral:rRNA from 1 species